UGAGGAAUAUUGGUCAAUGGACGAGAGUCUGAACCAGCCAAGUAGCGUGAAGGAUGACUGCCCUAUGGGUUGUAAACUUCUUUUAUAUGGGAAUAAAGUGAGCCACGUGUGGCUUUUUGUAUGUACCAUACGAAUAAGGAUCGGCUAACUCCGUGCCAGCAGCCGCGGUAAUACGGAGGAUCCGAGCGUUAUCCGGAUUUAUUGGGUUUAAAGGGAGCGUAGGCGGAUUAUUAAGUCAGUUGUGAAAGUUUGCGGCUCAACCGUAAAAUUGCAGUUGAUAUUGGUAGUCUUGAGUGCAGCAGAGGUAGGCGGAAUUCGUGGUGUAGCGGUGAAAUGCUUAGAUAUCACGAAGAACUCCGAUUGCGAAGGCAGCUUACUGGACUGUAACUGACGCUGAUGCUCGAAAGUGUGGGUAUCAAACAGG
rnacentral:rRNA from 1 species